GUAGUACUCCCUCGGUCCCAAAAUUGUCUUAGAUUUGUCUAGAUACGGAUGUACCUAAUACUAAAAUGUGACUUGAUACAACCGUAUUAAGACAAAUCUAAGACAAGAAUUUUGGGACGGAGGGAGUAGUAA
rfam:Triticum aestivum genome assembly, contig: Triticum_aestivum_CS42_TGACv1_scaffold_251788_3DL